rnacentral:tRNA from 1 species
CAGGCUGAAGCUUUAAAUGAAGCAUUUUAUUUACAUUAAAGAGAUUGUUUUAGGACAUGGCUUGA